AAGCCGAAUACGACUUCGCCUUUUGGUGGCUUCCUCACCGACACGGUCUCCCACCGCCCCGGUCGCGGCCUGCCCGCGAGGCCCAGCGGCGCCGCGUAGCCCGCAAAAGCAAAGGCGGCUCCCCUCGAUCCACUCCGCGUAGCCCCGCAUCCGGCAUCUCCCCUCGAUCCACUCCGCCUCCGCCGGCGCCACUCCGCUCCGCCUCCGAAGCCGCCGGCACCACUCCGUCUUCGUCUCCGCUCCGUCUCCGCCGACGCCGGCGCCACCCCCCACCAACCCACCGGAGCGUCCACUCCAGCGGCGACUCGAGCACCGGAUCCGUCUCGAUUUGUUGCGGCUCAGCGCGCGCAAGAUCGAUUGGUAUAUGUGUAGGAGGCGUACCCAUGGCGUCUCCGUCCGCUCGUGUGCCAUCGCAAAGAAUGGUUCCAGGCCUCCUUGCUGCUUCCCCUAGCCCUACUACUCCUACCUUCGUUGCAGCACCCAUCCCUUCCCUGGUCCCUGAACCCCAUCGUCAAGAACAGGGAGGAAUCUAGACAACAGGGAAGAAACGAAAGAUCAGCUCUGAGUUUGGCAAGAGGGCAGAGGUGCUCCGACCUGCACAUCAGGGCUCCUCCCCUGCUGCCACCAUUCCCACAGCUGGACAUCAGGCACAGCAACUUCCUAUAUCUUCUUAAUCUCAUAUUCCUAACUAUACUGACUUGUCCAUGCAUGUUCCUAAACAAAUGUGCUUGAUCACUGGCCGGAGAUAACUAGCUCGCCCAACAAUAAUUAUCUUACACAGAGCUUUUGGGAAAUAAGGCUUGCAUUCUUGACCUGAGAGAGUCCUUUGGACCGCAUUUCUUCAGAUCACAAGAACAGGAGCCUUGAAAGAGCAGCCUAGUUGAAGAUGGUAGAUGUUAGACUGCAAUCGAAGAAGCUGCAGCAGCAGGAUUGCUAAGCCACGUAGAAGAAAAAAUGAGGAGAAAAAGUGACUCCAAGUACAGUGCUAAUAGAUUAGUGUGGUUCUGUAAUGUAUAACCCAUUUUAGUCUUUUCAAGCACUUACCGAUGUCAUCAUCGGACCCUGAAGCAUAGUUGUAACACAUAUUUGGAUUUCGAUGUAUGGUUGUUCAAAAUCUGGAACAUACAGUUGUUAUAGGCUUGUUACACAUUAGUUGCAAAA